AUUGAACGCUGGCGGCAGGCCUAACACAUGCAAGUCGAGCGGAUGAAUGGAGCUUGCUCCUGGAUUCAGCUGCGGACGGGUGAGUAAUUCCUAUGAAUCUGCCUGGUAUUGUGUUAUAACGUCCGUACACGGGCGCUAAUACCGCAUCCGUCCUUAUUGCGCAAGUGGGUGUUCUUCGGACCUCACGCUAUCAGAUGAGCCUAGGUCGGAUUAGCUAGUUGGUUGGGUAAAGGCCUACCAAGGCGACGAUCCGUAACUGGUCUGAGAGGAUGAUCAGUCACACGGGAAGUGAGACACGGUACAGAAUACUACGGGAGGCAGCAGUGGGGAAUAGUGGACAAGGGGCGAAAGGAUGAUACAGAAAUGCCGCGUGUGUGAAGAAGGUCUUCGGAUUGUAAAGAACUUUAAGUUGGGAGGAAGGGAAGUAAGUUAAUACCUUGCUGUUUUGACGUUAACAAAAGAAUAAGCAACGGCUAACUUCGUG
rnacentral:rRNA from 1 species